rnacentral:lncRNA from 1 species
AUGAAUAUGAUGCUGCCUGGGCUGGAUAGAGAUGGUGUUUCUCAGAAAACAAGAUUCAAAGGCCAAGGAACUCUGCCUGUACAGCAUUACUUCUCCUGUGCCCAUGAUGUCCUUUUCCCUGUAGACACAGCACCUCCAGUCCCUUCUAGACACAGCUAUAUUUUCCUCACUGAAGCACCCUGAGCAGCUGAGGAGAUCAUGGAUCAGAUUCUGUUGCUGUUUAUGAGAAGGCAAAUCUGGACCAACCAGGUGAACAAAACCAGCUAAAGCAUUUUGACAGUUUCUACUGAAAUCAGAAUUUCACCAUUGUUGCAGAUUAGAGAACUGAGUGCCAACUGGGAAAAUAAACUGGGUCCUCUGUGCUAAUAUAGAGACUAA